rnacentral:rRNA from 1 species
UAGGGAAUCUUCCACAAUGGGCGCAAGCCUGAUGGAGCAACACCGCGUGAGUGAAGAAGGGUUUCGGCUCGUAAAGCUCUGUUGUUAAAGAAGAACACGUAUGAGAGUAACUGUUCAUACGUUGACGGUAUUUAACCAGAAAGUCACGGCCAACUACGUGCCAG